GAGGUACUCCCUCUGUCCGGAAUUACUUGUCGCAAAAAUGAAUAAAAAUGGUGUAUCUAGACCUAAAAUACAUGUAGAUACAUCCAUUUUUCUGACAAGUAUUUUCGGACGGGGGAGUAUAUC
rfam:Hordeum vulgare subsp. vulgare, WGS project CAJW01000000 data, contig: morex_contig_46519